rnacentral:rRNA from 1 species
UGGGGAAUAUUGCACAAUGGGCGCAAGCCUGAUGCAGCCAUGCCGCGUGUGUGAAGAAGGCCUUCGGGUUGUAAAGCACUUUCAGCGGGGAGGAAGGCGUUAAGGUUAAUAACCUUGGCGAUUGACGUUACCCGCAGAAGAAGCACCGGCUAACUCCGUGCCAGCAGCCGCGGUAAUACGGAGGGUGCAAGCGUUAAUCGGAAUUACUGGGCGUAAAGCGCACGCAGGCGGUCUGUCAAGUCGGAUGUGAAAUCCCCGGGCUCAACAUGGGAACUGCAUUCGAAACUGGCAGGAUAGAGUCUUGUAGAGGGGGGUAGAAUUCAAGGUGUAGCGGUGAAAUGCGUAGAGAUCUGGAGGAAUACCGGUGGCGAAGGCGGCCCCCUGGACAAAGACUGACGCUCAGGUGCGAAAGCGGGGGGAGCAAACAGG